GACGAACGCUGGCGGCGUGCUUAACACAUGCAAGUCGAACGGAAAGGCCCUGCUUUUGUGGGGUGCUCGAGUGGCGAACGGGUGAGUAACACGUGAGUAACCUGCCCUUGACUUUGGGAUAACUUCAGGAAACUGGGGCUAAUACCGGAUAGGAGCUCCUGCUGCAUGGUGGGGGUUGGAAAGUUUCGGCGGUUGGGGAUGGACUCGCGGCUUAUCAGCUUGUUGGGGGGGUAGUGGCUUACCAAGGCUUUGACGGGUAGCCGGCCUGAGAGGGUGACCGGCCACAUUGGGACUGAGAUACGGCCCAGACUCCUACGGGAGGCAGUAGUGGGGAAUAUUGCACAAUGGGCGGAAGCCUGAUGCAGCAACGCCGCGUGCGGGAUGACGGCCUUCGGGUUGUAAACCGCUUUCGCCUGUGACGAAGAGUGAGUGACGGUAAUGGGUAAAGAAGCACCGGCUAACUACGUG
rnacentral:rRNA from 1 species